GUGGUUACAUUUUGUAUUGCAAGAUUGUUUUUAUUACAAAUAUUAAUUGCUUCCAAUUUUUAGCUACAUAUAUUAAAGUUUAAUAUAAAAAUAAGAAGAUGUGGUAUGAUUGCCAAUGAGUCAUUACUCUCCACCAGAGACCAUUGAAGAAGAAUUUAAAAAUUAGCAAAACUCAUGCCAAAUGUAAAAUUAAAAAUCAUG
rnacentral:lncRNA from 1 species